GGGGGAUAACGCAGCGAAAGCUGUGCUAAUACCGCAUACGAUCUACGGAUGAAAGCAGGGGAUCGCAAGACCUUGCGCGAAUGGAGCGGCCGAUGGCAGAUUAGGUAGUUGGUGAGGUAAAGGCUCACCAAGCCUUCGAUCUGUAGCUGGUCUGAGAGGACGACCAGCCACACUGGGACUGAGACACGGCCCAGACUCCUACGGGAGGCAGCAGAC
rnacentral:rRNA from 1 species